rnacentral:rRNA from 1 species
UACGUAGGGUGCGAGCGUUGUCCGGAAUUACUGGGCGUAAAGAGCUCGUAGGUGGUUUGUCGCGUCUGCCGUGAAAGUCCGGGGCUCAACUCCGGAUCUGCGGUGGGUACGGGCAGUCUAGAGUGAUGUAGGGGAGACUGGAAUUCCUGGUGUAGCGGUGAAAUGCGCAGAUAUCAGGAGGAACACCGAUGGCGAAGGCAGGUCUCUGGGCAUUAACUGACGCUGAGGAGCGAAAGCAUGGGGAGCGAACAGG